ACACCGUUGGUGAAGUGGUUAUCAUGCUUGCCUUCCAUCCCAACCCAAGUAGUGGUAGUGGAGCAAGCGGCUCGGGUUCGAUUCCCGAACGGUGUA